rnacentral:rRNA from 1 species
UACGUAGGGGGCAAGCGUUAUCCGGAUUUACUGGGUGUAAAGGGAGCGUAGACGGUGAUGCAAGUCAGAAGUGAAAGCCCGGGGCUCAACUCCGGGACUGCUUUUGAAACUGUGUGACUGGAGUGCAGGAGAGGUAAGUGGAAUUCCUGGUGUAGCGGUGAAAUGCGUAGAUAUCAGGAGGAACACCAGUGGCGAAGGCGGCUUACUGGACUGUAACUGACGUUGAGGCUCGAAAGCGUGGGGAGCAAACAGG